GAGCACGUAGGUGGGUUUGUAAGUCAGAUGUGAAAGCCUUCUGUUCAACGGAAGAAUUGCAUCUGAAACUACUAAUCUUGAGUAUAGGAGGGGAGAAUGGAACUUCUGGUGGAGCGGUGAAAUGCGUAGAUAUCAGAAGGAACGCCGGCGGCGAAAGCGAUUCUCUGGCCUAUUACUGACACUCAGUGUGCGAAAGCUAGGGGAGCAAACGGGAUUAGAUACCCCGGUAGUCCUAGCCGUAAACGAUGGGCACUAAGUAGAGGGGUUUUA
rnacentral:rRNA from 1 species